AUAGGGGAGCCGCAGGGAAACCGAGUCUUAACUGGGCGUUAAGUUGCAGGGUAUAGACCCGAAACCCGGUGAUCUAGCCAUGGGCAGGUUGAAGGUUGGGUAACACUAACUGGAGGACCGAACCGACUAAUGUUGAAAAAUUAGCGGAUGACUUGUGGCUGGGGGUGAAAGGCCAAUCAAACCGGGAGAUAGCUGGUUCUCCCCGAAAGCUAUUUAGGUAGCGCCUCGUGAAUUCAUCUUCGGGGGUAGAGCACUGUUUCGGCUAGGGGGCCAUCCCGGCUUACCAACCCGAUGCAAACUGCGAAUACCGAAGAAUGUUAUCACGGGAGACACACGGCGGGUGCUAACGUCCGUCGUGAAGAGGGAAACAACCCAGACCGCCAGCUAAGGUCCCAAAGUCAUGGUUAAGUGGGAAACGAUGUGGGAAGGCCCAGACAGCCAGGAUGUUGGCUUAGAAGCAGCCAUCAUUUAAAGAAAGCGUAAUAGCUCACUGGUCGAGUCGGCCUGCGCGGAAGAUGUAACGGGGCUAAAACCAUGCACCGAAGCUGCGGCAGCGACGCUCAGGCGUUGUUGGGUAGGGGAGCGUUCUGUAAGCCGUUGAAGGUGGCCUGUGAGGGCUGCUGGAGGUAUCAGAAGUGCGAAUGCUGACAUAAGUAACGAUAAUGCGGGUGAAAAACCCGCACGCCGGAAGACCAAGGGUUCCUGUCCAACGUUAAUCGGGGCAGGGUGAGUCGACCCCUAAGGCGAGGCUGAAAAGCGUAGUCGAUGGGAAACAGGUUAAUAUUCCUGUACUUGGUGUUACUGCGAAGGGGGGACGGAGAAGGCUAUGUCAUCCGGGCGACGGUUGUCCCGGUUUAAGCGUGCAGGUGGGUGGACCAGGCAAAUCCGGUCUG
rnacentral:rRNA from 1 species